rnacentral:rRNA from 2 species
CAGUCGAACGAACUCUGGUAUUGAUUGGUGCUUGCAUCAUGAUUUACAUUUGAGUGAGUGGCGAACUGGUGAGUAACACGUGGGAAACCUGCCCAGAAGCGGGGGAUAACACCUGGAAACAGAUGCUAAUACCGCAUAACAACUUGGACCGCAUGGUCCGAGUUUGAAAGAUGGCUUCGGCUAUCACUUUUGGAUGGUCCCGCGGCGUAUUAGCUAGAUGGUGAGGUAACGGCUCACCAUGGCAAUGAUACGUAGCCGACCUGAGAGGGUAAUCGGCCACAUUGGGACUGAGACACGGCCCAAACUCCUACGGGAGGCAGCAGUAGGGAAUCUUCCACAAUGGACGAAAGUCUGAUGGAGCAACGCCGCGUGAGUGAAGAAGGGUUUCGGCUCGUAAAACUCUGUUGUUAAAGAAGAACAUAUCUGAGAGUAACUGUUCAGGUAUUGACGGUAUUUAACCAGAAAGCCACGGCUAACUACGUGCCAGCAGCCGCGGUAAUACGUAGGUGGCAAGCGUUGUCCGGAUUUAUUGGGCGUAAAGCGAGCGCAGGCGGUUUUUUAAGUCUGAUGUGAAAGCCUUCGGCUCAACCGAAGAAGUGCAUCGGAAACUGGGAAACUUGAGUGCAGAAGAGGACAGUGGAACUCCAUGUGUAGCGGUGAAAUGCGUAGAUAUAUGGAAGAACACCAGUGGCGAAGGCGGCUGUCUGGUCUGUAACUGACGCUGAGGCUCGAAAGUAUGGGUAGCAAACAGGAUUAGAUACCCUGGUAGUCCAUACCGUAAACGAUGAAUGCUAAGUGUUGGAGGGUUUCCGCCCUUCAGUGCUGCAGCUAACGCAUUAAGCAUUCCGCCUGGGGAGUACGGCCGCAAGGCUGAAACUCAAAGGAAUUGACGGGGGCCCGCACAAGCGGUGGAGCAUGUGGUUUAAUUCGAAGCUACGCGAAGAACCUUACCAGGUCUUGACAUACUAUGCAAAUCUAAGAGAUUAGACGUUCCCUUCGGGGACAUGGAUACAGGUGGUGCAUGGUUGUCGUCAGCUCGUGUCGUGAGAUGUUGGGUUAAGUCCCGCAACGAGCGCAACCCUUAUUAUCAGUUGCCAGCAUUAAGUUGGGCACUCUGGUGAGACUGCCGGUGACAAACCGGAGGAAGGUGGGGAUGACGUCAAAUCAUCAUGCCCCUUAUGACCUGGGCUACACACGUGCUACAAUGGAUGGUACAACGAGUUGCGAACUCGCGAGAGUAAGCUAAUCUCUUAAAGCCAUUCUCAGUUCGGAUUGUAGGCUGCAACUCGCCUACAUGAAGUCGGAAUCGCUAGUAAUCGCGGAUCAGCAUGCCGCGGUGAAUACGUUCCCGGGCCUUGUACACACCGCCCGUCACACCAUGAGAGUUUGUAACACCCAAAGUCGGUGGGGU